UUCACAUCUGUGAUCUUCUUCGAAGCCAAUUUUUACAGAUUUUACAGAAGCUGCUGGUAGAAAAUAAUUCUAGCAGUUUGCAAGCUAACCAAACCUUGUGCCACAUCUUGAACCUCCUCUUUCUGGUGCAAUUGAGGCACACAAUGCAGAGAGAACUAGAUAACACAGAUUUCAGGCUGCUUCAUUUAGUUAGUAAUGUGUCUGGAAAAUGCAGUCCAGCAGACCAUGAAAUUCUACAGCCUUCUCUAAAU
rnacentral:lncRNA from 1 species